rnacentral:rRNA from 1 species
AGAACGAACGCUGGCGGCAUGCCUAACACAUGCAAGUCGAACGAGACCUUCGGGUCUAGUGGCGCACGGGUGCGUAACGCGUGGGAAUCUGCCCUUGGGUUUGGAAUAACAGUUAGAAAUGACUGCUAAUACCAAAUGAUGUCUUCGGACCAAAGAUUUAUCGCCCAGGGAUGAGCCCGCGUAGGAUUAGGUAGUUGGUGGGGUAAGAGCCUACCAAGCCGACGAUCCUUAGCUGGUCUGAGAGGAUGAUCAGCCACACUGGGACUGAGACACGGCCCAGACUCCUACGGGAGGCAGCAGUGGGGAAUAUUGGACAAUGGGCGAAAGCCUGAUCCAGCAAUGCCGCGUGAGUGAUGAAGGCCCUAGGUUGUAAAGCUCUUUUGUGCGGGAAGAUAAUGACGGUACCGCAAGAAUAAGCCCGGCUAACUUCGCGCCAGCAGCCGC